rnacentral:rRNA from 1 species
AGUUUGAUCCUGGCUCAGAUUGAACGCUGGCGGCAGGCCUAACACAUGCAAGUCGAGCGGAUGAGAAGAGCUUGCUCUUCGAUUCAGCGGCGGACGGGUGAGUAAUGCCUAGGAAUCUGCCUGGUAGUGGGGGACAACGUUUCGAAAGGAACGCUAAUACCGCAUACGUCCUACGGGAGAAAGCAGGGGACCUUCGGGCCUUGCGCUAUCAGAUGAGCCUAGGUCGGAUUAGCUAGUUGGUGGGGUAAAGGCUCACCAAGGCGACGAUCCGUAACUGGUCUGAGAGGAUGAUCAGUCACACUGGAACUGAGACACGGUCCAGACUCCUACGGGAGGCAGCAGUGGGGAAUAUUGGACAAUGGGCGAAAGCCUGAUCCAGCCAUGCCGCGUGUGUGAAGAAGGUCUUCGGAUUGUAAAGCACUUUAAGUUGGGAGGAAGGGCAUUAACCUAAUACGUUAGUGUUUUGACGUUACCGACAGAAUAAGCACCGGCUAACUCUGUGCCAGCAGCCGCGGUAAUACAGAGGGUGCAAGCGUUAAUCGGAAUUACUGGGCGUAAAGCGCGCGUAGGUGGUUCGUUAAGUUGGAUGUGAAAUCCCCGGGCUCAACCUGGGAACUGCAUCCAAAACUGGCGAGCUAGAGUAUGGUAGAGGGUGGUGGAAUUUCCUGUGUAGCGGUGAAAUGCGUAGAUAUAGGAAGGAACACCAGUGGCGAAGGCGACCACCUGGACUGAUACUGACACUGAGGUGCGAAAGCGUGGGGGAGCAAACAGGAUUAGAUACCCUGGUAGUCC